UGCAACUCGCAUGCAACCGCUUCACACGGCGACGCCCCGCAUCGCACGGCACGUUGGCAUCUCACCUGCACUCUUCCAUCCCAAACCUGUAGCUUAUACGCAUCGCACGUACAGCCACAUGUUUUCCUUGGACAGCUUAUCCUAACGAUCAAACUACAUGCAAUCCUAGAAUACAUAUGCAAAAACAUGAAUCAAGAUUAAUCCUAACAGUUUCCACGGCAAGAUCCGUGCCAUCAGACCCAGUUCGCGCCCUCGACAACAGACACGGUUGCCUCUCCCUCCCUUCGAUUUCGAGGCCGCGCCGAUCCCUCCAUGGUCAUCCGUGUAGAGCGAGCUUCAGCCACCUCAAAGCUGUGUCGCGCCGGGUCAAGCUCGAGGAGGGCCGGCACUCAUACGUGCUAGCUGCCGAGUCUAGCUCAGGCAUGGCCAAGCAGGUCCUCGAGGUCCCCGUUGGAGGGAUCAUAGUUGAGCGGCGCCAUGGUUGGUCACCCACAAGAAUGACGGUCGUGGCUAUGUGCAGAGCGAGGGGGCGAGGCGACAGACGGGCGGCGGAAUGGAGACGCUAGGAAGGCAGGGAAGUGUUCAAGUGUAGAAAAAGAAGAAUGAUGUAAUGAGAUAAAGAAUGGACAAAAGCUCAAGCUUGAGGAUGCCCCUUCACCCCAAGACAUAUAAAAGAGGUACAAGCGUCAAAGCUUAGGGAUGCCCAAGACAUCCCCUCUUCAUCAACAAAGCAACAUGUCAUCUCUCUAUGCGCUAUAUUUUUAUUGCUUCAUACGCUAUGUGUUGUUUUUGGAGCGUCUUUAUUUUUGUUUUUUUAGAUUAGUUUAGUUUUAUUUGUUGUAGCAUAUGUUGGAUCCCGGUACACUUGUUUUGAAGAAAGACCCGCUCCAUUUUAAUUGCAUAGAACGUUGUAGUUUUACUAUUAUUGUUCUGCGAGUGUUCUAAUUUUCUAGUA